AUGCACGCUGGCGGCGUGCUUAACACAUGCACGUCGAACGGAAAGGCUCCUGCUUGCCGGGGUACUCGAGUGGCGAACGGGUGAGUAACACGUGGGUGAUCUGCCCUGCACUUCGGGAUAAGCCUGGGAAACUGGGUCUAAUACCGGAUAGGACCACAUUUUGGAUGGUGUGGUGGAAAGUUUUUCGGUGUGGGAUGAGCUCGCGGCCUAUCAGCUUGUUGGUGGGGUAAUGGCCUACCAAGGCGUCGACGGGUAGCCGGCCUGAGAGGGUGUACGGCCACAUUGGGAGUGAGAUACGGCCCAGACUCCUACGGGAGGCAGCAGUGGGGAAUAUUGCACAAUGGGCGCAAGCCUGAUGCAGCGACGCCGAGUGGGUGAUGACGGCCUUCGGGUUGUAAACGCCUUUCGCUAGGGACGAAGCGCAAGUGACGGGACCUGGAGAAGAAGCACCGGCUAACUACG
rnacentral:rRNA from 1 species